rnacentral:rRNA from 1 species
UACCCGCGGUCCAAGUCGCAGCCAUCAUUAUUGGGUCUAAAACAUCCGUAGCUUGCUUAGUAAGUUUCUUGUGAAAUUCCAUGUCUUAAAUAUGGAGCGGGCAAGAAGUACUGUUAAGCUAGAGACUGGAAGACGUAAGAAGUACGUUUGGAGUAGCGGUAAAAUGUGUUAAUCCCAGACGGACUAACAACAGCGAAGGCAUCUUACGAGGACAGUUCUGACAGUAAGGGAUGAAGGCUAGGGGCGCGAA